rnacentral:rRNA from 1 species
GCGCAGCAGGCGCGAAACCUCCGCAAUGCACGCAAGUGCGACGGGGGAACCCCAAGUGCCACUCUUAACGGGGUGGCUUUUCAGAAGUGUAAAAAGCUUCUGGAAUAAGGGCUGGGCAAGACCGGUGCCAGCCGCCGCGGUAACACCGGCAGCUCAAGUGGUAGCCGCUUUUAUUGGGCCUAAAGCGUCCGUAGCCGGUCUGAUAAGUCUCUGGUGAAAUCCCGCAGCUUAACUGUGGGAAUUGCUGGAGAUACUAUCAUGACUCGAGGCCGGGAGAGGCUGGAGGUACUCCCAGGGUAGGGGUGAAAUCCUGUAAUCCUGGGAGGACCACCUGUGGCGAAGGCGUCCAGCUGGAACGAACCUGACGGUGAGGGACGAAAGCCAGGGGCGCGAACCGGAUUAGAUACCCGGGUAGUCCUGGCCGUAAACGAUGUGGACUUGGUGUUGGGAUGGCUUCGAGCUG